rnacentral:lncRNA from 1 species
CCCAUGACGUCAUCAUUUCUUAAGUAUUUUAAUUUAUUCAGAUUCACGUUAAUUUAUUUGAGCGUACUUGAUAUUUUUAAACCGCUGCCGUUUGUUUAUCUACAGUUUUUACCCUUUUUUCUGCCUACUUCACUGCCGUUUGUUUAUCUACAGUUUAUAUUUCUAGCUACUGCGAGGCCGUUUGUAAUUGUAGGAUCGCUUUUAGUUUUAUUUUUGGCUGCUUCGUUCCCGUUUAUCGACUACAGAGUACAGUUUAUAUUUCUGGCUACAUCGCUGCCGUUUGUUU